GCACAUAUACUAAACAUAUACUAAAAUUGGAACAAUACAGAGAAGAUUGGCAUGGCCCCUGCACAAGGAUGACAUGCAAAUUCUUGAAGCAUUCCGUAUUUUU